GCCAUGAUAUGUCUUAAACUCAAAUGGUAAGUUCAUAAGUGUUUGGACUUGGAAAUUUAAGAGCAAAUUGUAAUAAUUUGCUUGGACAGCAGCAGUAAUGUGAUUUUAGAAAAUCACUAUAAAUUGUUGGUGUGGAAUUAUAGGCUGAAUAAAAUAUGUAAUCAAAGCUUAGUUGGUCUAGUUUCUUAUAAAAGAGACCGUGGAAGCAAAGAAAUUUC
rnacentral:lncRNA from 1 species